rnacentral:rRNA from 1 species
GGGAAUAUUGGACAAUGGGGGGAACCCUGACCCAGCCAUGCCGCGUGUGUGAAGAAGGUCUUCGGAUUGUAAAGCACUUUAAGUUGGGAGGAAGGGCUUUAGGUUAAUACCCUGAAGUUUUGACGUUACCAACAGAAUAAGCACCGGCUAACUUCGUGCCAGCAGCCGCGGUAAU